GGAGAGUGCAGGUAGUUGUUAGAGAAUAACUAGUACUGAGCGUGACCAACACGAGAGUCACAUGGAUGUCUGUUCAUUCGUUAGUAACUUUCUCGAUGCUAUAGUUGUAUGACUGAUCUUUUGACUUGCGAUGCUACAGCUACUCGCAGUGAGGCUACUGACGUUGGACUACACAUAAAUAUGGAUCUCAAUGAGUCUUUGUAGUAGAUGUUGAUGAUAGUUGGUCCACUGUAGGAGUAGGAUGUACACCUAGAUGGGAUCUAUCGAUCCUAGCAGAAGAAAGUAGUCCUAUGAAAUUUAAGAAGCUGAGUCUUUAAGUUUAUGACUAUAGCAGUGUGAUUAUUGAAGAGGAGUUUUCAUGAGA
rnacentral:lncRNA from 1 species